UACGAAGGGUGCAAGCGUUACUCGGAAUUACUGGGCGUAAAGCGUGCGUAGGUGGUGGUUUAAGUCUGCUGUGAAAGCCCUGGGCUCAACCUGGGAAUUGCAGUGGAUACUGGAUCACUAGAGUGCGGUAGAGGGUAGUGGAAUUUCCGGUGUAGCAGUGAAAUGCGUAGAGAUCGGAAGGAACAUCUGUGGCGAAGGCGACUACCUGGGCCAACACUGACACUGAGGCACGAAAGCGUGGGGAG
rnacentral:rRNA from 1 species